UGGCGGAAUUGGUAGACGCGCAGCGUUGAGGUCGCUGUGGGGCAACCCGUGGAAGUUCGAGUCUUCC
rnacentral:tRNA from 1 species